GGAGGGGUGCCGGAGAGGCCGAACGGGGCUCCCUGCUAAGGAGUUGAGCCGGGCAACCCCUGGCUCCGAGGGUUCGAAUCCCUCCCCCUCCG
rnacentral:tRNA from 1 species